rnacentral:tRNA from 1 species
GCACACGUGGCCGAGUGGUUGAUUACACAGAAGGCGAGAGAUUAGAAUUCAAAAAAACAUCUCUUGGGCGAAAGCCUUCGUAAGUUCGAAUCUUAUCGUGUGCG